AUGGCGGAGACGGUGGUAAGCAUGGCGAGGUCCAUGCUGGGGGACGCCAUCAGCAAGGCCGCCUCUGCCGCGGCCGCCGAGCUGAGCUUGGUGAUGGGUGUGCAGAAGGAUAUCUGGUUUAUCAAAGACGAGCUAAAGACGAUGCAGGCAUUCUUGGCAGCCGCUGAAGCAACGAAGAACAAAGACAUGCUGCUGAAAGUGUGGGCAGAGCAAGUAAGGGACCUGUCCUACAAUAUAGAAGAUUGCCUUGAUGAAUUUAUGCUUCAUGUGAGGAGCCAAAGCUUGAUGAAACGGCUGAUGAAGCUCAAAGACCGUCGUAGGAUUGCUAUCCAAAUUCGCAACCUGAAAUCAAGAGUUGAAGAAGUGAGCAGCAGGAAUGCACGCUACAACUUGAUCAAGACAGAGGCCUCAAUGACCACUGACAAGGAGGUUUCUUACAUAGAAGAUGUACGUAAUCACUCAGCAAGCAACACUGAUGAAGAGGAUCUUGUGGGCUUUACAAAGCCUAGGGAGGAGAUAGAAAUGCUCAAGGAUAUGAUCAGGCAACUUCUUGGUGGAGAUUCACUGAAGAACUUGUUGAAAGAACUUGAAGGGAAGGUGGUGCAAGUAAAGGACCUCGCCGAGUACCUCAAUAAGGAGAUUAAGGAUAAGAGGUACCUUAUUAUUCUUGAUGACUUGUGGACAAUAGAUGCAUGGAGGUGGAUUAAAGAUAUUGUUUUUCCUAAUAGUAACAAGAAAGGUAGUCGGAUAAUAGUAACGACACGUGAUGUUGGCUUAGCAAAGGAAUGUACUCUUGAAUCCCUUGUCUACCACCUUAAAACCUUGGAGGUAGUCGAGGCCACAAAUUUGCUACUAAAAAAGAGUAGGAAAAUAUACGAAGACAUGGACAAAGAUGAACACUUCAAGAGCAUAGUUGAAAAACUAGUUAGAAAGUGUGGGUGUUUACCACUGGCCAUACUCACAAUUGGAGGGAUCCUUGCCACUAAAAAGAUAAUAGAGUGGGAGCACGUCUAUAACCAACUCCCCUCUGAGCUUGAGUGUAACCCAAGCCUUGAAGCAAUGAAGAUGAUGGUUAAUUUGAGUUACAACCACUUGCCAUCUCAUCUUAAGCCAUGUUUCUUAUACCUAAGCAUCUUUCCCGAGGAUUCAGAAAUCCGGAUGAGGCGUCUAGUAGAAAGAUGGAUUGCCGAGGGUUUGAUUAGAGCUAGGACUGGGGUGAACAUUGAGGAUGUGGCUAAAGGUUACUUUAAUGAGUUAAUCAACCGAAGCAUGCUUCAACCAUCAAGGGUGAACAUCGAAGGAGUUGUGAAGAGCUGUCGAGUCCAUGAUAUUGUGCGUGAUGUCAUGAUCUCAGUUUCUAGAGAUGAAAAUUUUGUGCAUGUGGCGGGAAAUUAUGUAACUGGUGCUAUGGAGGAGACCUUCCGGCAUGUAGCAUACCAUGGUAGCAUGUGCAAAAAUAUAGGUAUGGAUUGGAGCCAUGUCCGGUCAGUAACCGUGUUUGGUGAGAGAUCAUUGGAUCCAUCGCCUUCAGUUUGUUCAUCUGACAUGAGAAUGCUCCGGGCCUUGGAUCUAGAGAAUGCACAGUUUCAAGUCACACAAAAGGAUAUCAGCAACAUAGGAUUGUUUCGCCACAUAAAGUAUCUGAAUUUUUCUGAUCCUCGAGGAUAUUCACAUAUUUAUAAACUUCCUAGAUCCAUAGGGAAAUUACAAGGCUUGCGCACUUUGAACAUUAGAGACAGUUAUAUUACAGAACUGCCAACUGAGAUUAGUAAACUCAAGAGUCUACACAGUCUCCGUUGUACCAGAAAUUAUUCCUAUGAAUACUUUGACUUGGAUGACCCCAAGAAUUGCUUGCUGGCCACAUCUUGUCUACCCAUAUUUUUCACACCUUUGUUUGAUCAUAGUGAGCGCGCCAAGGCAGUUGCUGAGCUACACAUGGCAUGGUCUAGCCGUGGGUCAAAGUCAUAUGGUGUGAGGGUGCCAAAAGGAAUCAGCAAACUGAAAGAGCUGCAAAUACUAGAGGUCGUGAACAUCAGCCGAACGAGUCGCAAAGCAAUUAAAGAGUUAGGUGAGCUUGUGCAGCUGAGAAAACUGAGUGUGGUAACAGAAGGGGCCACCAAGAAAAAAUGCAAGGUACUCUGUGAUGCCAUUCAGAAGCUCACUUGCCUCCGCUCCCUUUCAGUGGAGGGUUCGCUCGAGUGGCAGCAUGAUGUUUCCUCUCCUCCUCCCCUGUUGAGGAGUCUGACGUUGUCUGGACACCUUGGAGAGAUUCCUGGCUGGUUUGGCAAUCUAAUGCAUUUGGUUAAGCUUUCCUUAGGGGGCAGCGUAAUAAAGGAAGAAGGUAAAAUCAUGGAAAUACUAGGGUCACUUCCCAACCUCAUGCACCUUCGUCUUGGACCCAGCUCUUAUAUCGGGGAGAAGUUGGCGUUCAAAACGGGAGCAUUCCCAAAUCUCACGAAGCUUGGUAUUUGUUAUCUGAAGGGACUGAUAGAGUUGAAAUUUGAGGAUGGCACCACCCCCCAGCUGACAAUGAUAGAUAUCAGUUUGUGCAAUUUGGCAUCAGGAAUUAUUGGAGUCAACCAGCUUCCAAAGCUCAAGGAGAUCUCACUUGGUCCCUAUGGUCGAGUGGCGAAGCUCGCUGUGCUGCAAAGUGAAGUGGGUGCACAUACCAACAGUCCCGUGCUGCGACUGUCCGAGGAACGGAGCCGCCACGACCUGGGAGGCACCGUCGCCCAAGUGGGAGAAUCAACAGGGGAAUCCUCAUCUCUCCAUCCCGAGCCUGCAGCUGCAGGAGAGAGCUCACGGUCCCAAGCGGUGGGCAUGGCCGCGGCAAACAUCAGGUCACCUCAGCUAAUUGCUUCUCUUUCAUUCAACUAG
rnacentral:rRNA from 1 species